rnacentral:rRNA from 1 species
AUUGAACGCUGGCGGCAGGCCUAACACAUGCAAGUCGAACGAGUGGCGGACGGGUGAGUAAUGUCUGGGAAACUGCCUGAUGGAGGGGGAUAACUACUGGAAACGGUAGCUAAUACCGCAUACCAUCGGAUGUGCCCAGAUGGGAUUAGCUAGUAGGUGGGGUAAAGGCUCACCUAGGCGACGAUCCCUAGCUGGUCUGAGAGGAUGGCCAGCCACACUGGAACUGAGACACGGUCCAGACUCCGACGGGAGGCAGCAGUGGGGAAUAUUGGGCAAUGGGCGCAAGCCUGAUGCAGCCAUGCCGCGUGUAUGAAGAAGGCCUUCGGGUUGUAAAGUACUGUCAUCGGGGAGGCGUUAUCCGCAGAAGAAGCACCGGCUAACUACGUGCCAGCAGCCGCGGUAAUUC